UGCAGUCGAGCGCGGGAAGCAGACUGAAUCCUUCGGGAGGACGUCUGUGGAACGAGCGGCGGACGGGUGAGUAACACGUGGGCAACCUGCCUGUAAGACUGGGAUAACUCCGGGAAACCGGGGCUAAUACCGGAUAACUCAUCGAAUCGCAUGAUUCGAUGUUGAAAGAUGGCUUCUUGCUAUCACUUACAGAUGGGCCCGCGGCGCAUUAGCUAGUUGGUGAGGUAACGGCUCACCAAGGCCACGAUGCGUAGCCGACCUGAGAGGGUGAUCGGCCACACUGGGACUGAGACACGGCCCAGACUCCUACGGGAGGCAGCAGUAGGGAAUCAUCCGCAAUGGACGAAAGUCUGACGGUGCAACGCCGCGUGAGUGAGGAAGGCCUUCGGGUCGUAAAACUCUGUUGUUAGGGAAGAACAAGUUCCGUUCGAAUAGGGCGGAGCCUUGACGGUACCUAACCAGAAAGCCACGGCUAACUACGUGCCAGCAGCCGCGGUAAUACGUAGGUGGCAAGCGUUGUCCGGAAUUAUUGGGCGUAAAGCGCGCGCAGGCGGUUCCUUAAGUCUGAUGUGAAAGCCCACGGCUCAACCGUGGAGGGUCAUUGGAAACUGGGGAACUUGAAGACAGAAGAGGAGAGCGGAAUUCCACGUGUAGCGGUGAAAUGCGUAGAGAUGUGGAGGAACACCAGUGGCGAAGGCGGCUCUCUGGUCUGUGCUUGACGCUGAGGCGCGAAAGCGU
rnacentral:rRNA from 1 species